rnacentral:rRNA from 1 species
AAUGAACGCUGGCGGCAUGCCUAACACAUGCAAGUCGAACGAGACCUUCGGGUCUAGUGGCGCACGGGUGCGUAACGCGUGGGAAUCUGCCCUUGGUUCGGAAUAACAGCUAGAAAUGGCUGCUAAUACCGGAUGAUGACGUAAGUCCAAAGAUUUAUCGCCCAGGGAUGAGCCCGCGUAGGAUUAGCUAGUUGGUGAGG